UCCUCUGCCCCUUCCCCGCCUGUGAGCCGGAGCCAUCCGGGGACAUCCGAGCCAUCUGAGGCAGCAGGACAUCCUUGCCCUUUCCUGGGCUUCUCUGGCACCUUGCCCACCGCUCCCGUUCCUGGUUUCCUUCACUUGAGCAUCUGAUGGCACUCGAUGCGUCCUCUGGCUCGAGGCUUGUCCUUCUGGGUGGUGGCCUAGCUUCCGCCCGUCCAUCUGUUCUCAUUCUGGGCCAGGGGCAGCACCGGAUCUAGACUGGAUCGUACUGAAGUCCGGGAGCCAAGAUCCCCAGGACAUGGAUCUAACCAGGAAACGCCUGGGAUAAAAAUAAGGAUAGCCGACCUGCGCGGGUGUUCACCUGAUUCUCACCCCAAGCCGCCAAAGCCCUCCUGUCCUCUGUCCCCUGGCCUGGAGCAGCCGAGGCCUUGAUCAAGGCCGUGGCUGAGGACCCAGCCUCCAGUGCAGUUCAUCGAUAUGCAGCCUAGGGUCCUGCCUGGAAUUACCUGGGUGCUCUGAGGAGGAGUCAGACGCCCUGCUUCACAGGGAGAGAAGUCGCCUGUGUGUAAGACUCCUAACUGGGGCCUGGUGGUCUGGUCCCACUGACACCCAGCCGGAAAUGUUGGAGCCCCAGUGGGAUUUCUGAGGAAAGAAGUGGUGCUGGCCCAAAACACACUUGGGAGCCUGGGGAAGCUCCAGUGAUACACAGCCCAGAGGGUGGGAGAAUUGGGAUCAAACUGCCAAGCGAGAGAGCUGGUCCUGGGGAUCCAGUUGGGUUGUUUCUACCUUGGGUUAUGGGAAGAGUGCUGCCGUGAACACUGGAACUGCCAACUGUUUUCUUCAGUGGCAACACUGUUUUCUAUUCCCAACGGGAACAUGUGAGGACCAUAACACCUCCACAUCCUUGGCAACACUUGUUACUGGCCAUUAAAUAUAUCUCUGUCUCCUACUGGGUGUGAAAUGGU